CACUAGCUGGUUUAGUUUGCUCUAUAUACUAAGGGCCGUCUGAAUUGCAAAUCUAAAUCAGUUUAUUCGGGUAAAUGACUGUCUUGUGCAUCAGGAUGCACAAGUGUUGCGAUAUGUUCUUAUAUGUUGAGCUGCCAAGUAACAUAGCAGGAUGUUUGACCAUCACUGAACAACUGGCAGGGACAUGGGUUGGAGUAACAUUGCUUAGAUUACAACUGUGUUCAUGUGAUAUCACUUCAUGUGAAGGCACAAUAAUUUGCACUCCAUCACAUCUCAACUGUGUGUGGAAAACACCCAUUUCUGCAAUAAAAUAGUAAUGAUCAA
rnacentral:lncRNA from 1 species